UCAACAAUACAAUAUUUAACAUGAUUUAAUAGCUUUAGUUUACAUCCAUGAUCUAAAGAUAUAAAGAUUGGUCCAUUAAACUUUUACAAGAAAAACACACACACACACACACACACAAAAUACAAUUUAUAUAUACAACUUCACUUCAGUAUAUUGACUUUCUCCCAGCAAUGACAAAAUUCCUAAGGACUAAGGUUUCUAUUUAUAGGCUGGGCAAAUUGAAGGGGCACAAUGUAUUUUUAAAAUUUUGUAAAAUUAUAAGUUAAUAUGUUAAUAAAAUUAUAUUUUAUUCUCUAAAAAAAAAAAUCAUAUUUUUCAACUUUGUCUUCCUAAAAUGAUUUUUCAGCACACCUUUGGCUUUGCUUAGUUAUCCAAUGAGGGACUUGUGCUCAUUAAACUCAAAGUCUUUCCUUUGAGUUAAAAAAUCCAAAGUUCAAUCGAAUAAUUUUUUCUAAUAUUUUCAAAUUCUAGAAUUAUUAGAGAGUGAACUUUAACUUAUAGAAUUGAACAUAAUAUAAAAUCUGAGAUUUUUUAACGGGUAGAAGUUAAAAUCCUAUGUGUAUCCUCAAAUUUUAGAUUUUAAUUAUAAUCGCCAAUAUUUUAUUGAGUUAUCUUUGAAAUGAUUUUUGAAUCACAUGUGUGGGUACCAAAUUUUUGCCCAGGCUCAUUUACCAUUAAAGCCCAAAUUUUUAAACCAAAAACAAACCCCAAAGACCAAAAAUAGACUCAAAAUCAAAAUAAAACCCAAUUUUGAAGCCCAAAUUACCCAAGCCUUUAAUUAACCCUAAACCUAAAUAUUUAACCCUAAAUCAAAAAGAAAAGAAAAACCCUAACACCCUUUUCUGUUGCAGCCGCCGCAAGCCUUCCCACGCACGUCCUCCACGUUCGCGCGCCCACGUCGCCUCCAAUGGCUCCACGUUCGCCAUAAUUUCAUUUUUGUACCUGUAAAAAUAAAGGCUAUAAAAUACAAAAAAAAACUUACUUUUUUAACUUCGGCCACUACACGUGGUGGCCAACGACGGCGGCAAAACGACGGACGAGGACGAAGCUCUGGUCCAGUUGCUGAAGAAUUGGAUGGGGCGAGAGAAUUUGGAGAGCUUUUCAAAUGGUUUUUGAGGAAAAUGAAAGGAAAAUAUUGUUGAAGGGUUUUUUUUACUUUUAUUCCUUAUUUAUUAUGCUAAUUAAUUCAAUAUUCCCG
rnacentral:lncRNA from 1 species